CCUUCGAUAGCUCAGUUGGUAGAGCGGAGGACUGUAGUGGGUUAUCUGUGGCAAUCCUUAGGUCGCUGGUUCGAUUCCGGCUCGGAGGA
rnacentral:tRNA from 1 species